UGUUGAAUGGAUUUUUUUUCUGUUUCGAAGAGAGAUGGGCAGCACGGAUGUACCUAUGAAAGAGAGGGCAAAGCAGACACAGGAUGUGUGCUGAAACCCAAUGAAACUGGAACGAUGCCCGUUGACUUUAGAGAGACUUGGAUCUAGUCCUGAAAUGGGCCUGAACGAGGGACACACAGGGCAGCCAAAGACAUCAGCAACAUCUGCCAGCCACCUCUGGAAGGCUGGAGCAUCGCUGAGGGCUGGACAGAGGCUCCUCCAUCAGUGGAGCCCUCAGCCGCAGACAGGGUCAGUAACCACAGCCCAAUCUGCUGCCCUUUCCACAGCAGACAGUUGUCCUUUUCCACUCAGGUACUCUGCUUCGGGGACA